rnacentral:rRNA from 1 species
GGCUCUUUGAUUAAUACAUAUGAAGAGUCGAGCCUGCCCAGUGAUAUAUUUAACGGCCGCGGUACUCUGACCGUGCAAAGGUAGCAUAAUUAUUUGCCUUAUAAUUGAAGGCUAGUAUGAAUGGUUUGACGAAAACAAAGCUGUCUCUUUUUAAUUUUUUAGAACUUGAUUUUUAGGUGAAGAAGCCUAAAUAUGAUUGAAAGACAAGAAGACCCUAUCGAGCUUUAAAAAAUUUUAUUAAAAUAAAAUAGUCAUAAAAACUAAUUAUAAUAAAGGAUUUUAGUUGGGGCGACUGAGGAACAAAAAAGCUUCCAAUUUUAUAUUUAUAACAUAUUGGUUUUGAUCCAAAACUUUUGAUUAAAAAAAUUAGUUACCGUAGGGAUAACAGCAUAAUCUUUUUUGAGAGCUCUUAUCGAAAAAAAGGUUUGUGACCUCGAUGUUGGACUAGAAUAUCCUAAAUGGCGCAGAAGUCUUUAAAGGUUGGUCUGUUCGACCACUAAUAUUCUACGUGAUCUGAGUUCAGACCGG